rnacentral:rRNA from 1 species
UACGGAGGGUGCAAGCGUUGUCCGGAAUUACUGGGCGUAAAGCGUGCGCAGGCGGUGAGCUGUGUCCGAUGUGAAAGCCCCGGGCUUAACCUUGGAAUGGCAUUGGAAACUGGCUCGCUGGAGUGUGGCAGAGGGGGGUGGAAUUCCGCGUGUAGCAGUGAAAUGCGUAGAGAUGCGGAGGAACACCGAUGGCGAAAGCAGUCCCCUAGGCUAAAACUGACGCUCAGGCACGAAAGCGUGGGGAGCAAACAGG